ACGAUGUCUUGUCCAAAAAAUAUGAUUGACAAACACCGGAGGAAUUGUUGUUACAAAAACAUCUUACAUUUUUUUUCCUUGCCCCUUCCUUCGCCAGCAUGUCAGCAUGGUUUCCUUGUGUUUCACCACCACGACGUCUAGUCUUUGGACGAUUGAUCUGCAUUCAUGAAUAAGUGAGUCAAAAUAGAGGUUUUCAUUAAUUAGCAUUCUAAUUACCUUUGUUGAAUCGGUGUUUAUUUCCAAAGGUGUGAAUUGUGUUUUUUCUGCAACACGCAGUCCUUUUAGGAGAGCCAUUAGUUCUUGAGUGUUAGUGGUUUAUUGAAUUGAGCCCAUGUAGCCCAGUAUCUAGUUUUCACUUGCAUUUCUGAAGACUCCCCCCAGUCCUCCCUUUCCAGGAUUCCCUGUUGUAGUUCCAUCGAUUAUAAGCUUGUUGGAGUUGUUGUUUGAUGACUCCCAUUUUAUCCAGAUAUUUUUUAUGUUUUGGGGUUCUUUAUCCAGCAUUAUUGUAACAUAUUUAGUGGCUUUAGUAAUUGUACAAUUUGAGUCUGACCUUUUCUGUUAUUGAAGAGGUUGUUAUUCCGUGUUAGUCAUAUUUGUCAAAAAUAGAGAGUGAGGAGCUCUUCCCAAGUAAUAAUGUUGUUAUAAGCUUUUUUCUUUAAAGAUGCCCAAGUGGUUGGCCAAUAUGUGGAAGUGAAAGUAGGAAUAUGAGUAUUGGUUUUCCUAUUGCUUAGGGAGAUGAUGUCUUGCCAGAAGGUGUGAGAAAUGGUACAUUUAAAGAAUCGGUGAUGAUGUUUCAUUGGUCUGGCUGCAUUAAAUGGGGUUUGAUUGUACCCAACAUAAUGGAGAUAGGCUCCAGUGGGGGUCCUUUCAUGGAAAAGUAACCAAAAGAAGGAUAGAAUUUUUUUGGGUACUUUUAAUUUCCAGAUCCAUGCAAAAUUAUGGAUCAUGGUUUCCUGCCCUUGGUCCAAUAUCUAAUAGGCAUAUUUUGUGGAGUAGAGACUAUUUGGUGUGGCUCCCCAUAUCAUUCCAUCAUCUUUAACUGGUUUGGAUGGAAUGAAAGUGUUGUGGAUGGAAUUUUGGAUAUUUUUAGGGGAUGGUGAGAGAAAGAGUAGAGAGAUCCUAAACUCCAUUUUGGCGAGCAUUUGCAACUGUUUUGGACAUGUCUUCUCUUGUCAGAGGACCAUGAAUUAGAGACCUUAUAGCAGGGAGGUUGUUUAUCCAAUGGUCAUUAAAAAAGCUAACUCUGUUUCCUGAAUAAAUUACCUAUCUUUUUGCUUGUAUGCAUGUUUCCCGUCCUUUUAGGAUGCAUUGCAAGAUGUAAGACUUUACUUUUUUGGAAGGUUUCCUUUAAUUGCAGUGUUUUGCAAUAAGAGUUUUUGUCUAUGGAUUAAGCUUAUAUUUGUCUAUCCAUUAUUUAUUUCGUGUGGAUAGGUCUGGAACAACUCCAUAUUGGUGGUGGGACUUUCUUUCAUGACGAAAUCAAAGGAUUGCUGACCUGGUCAAUGAGUUGAAUAGUUGACUAUUAUUCAAAUGGUAUAUGUGGUCUCGUAGUCAACCAAACUUCAAAGGUCAAACAGCAAUUAAUAUUGACUUUAGCAUAGGAGGUUAGAAUUGGAUACUUCGGCUUGGCCUGUUUGUUAGCAAAUACACGUAAUGCUGCAAAUAAGGAGCUUUCCUCAACUCUGAGAAUUGAAAUAUCUAGUAAAUAUCCAGCAUUUUAACAAAGAAGUUAGAAAUUAACCC
rnacentral:lncRNA from 1 species